GACGAACGCUGGCGGCAGGCCUAACACCUGCAAGUCGAACGAGUGGCGGCCGGAUGAUUAAUGUCUGGGAAACUGCGGGAUGGAUCGUGAUAACUCCUGGACACGGUAGCUAAUACCGCAUACCAUCGGCUGCGCCCAGAUGGGAUUAGUUAGUAGGGGGGGUAACGGCUCACCUGGGCGACGAUCCCUAGCUGGUCUGAGAGGAGGACCGGCCGCCCUGGAACUGAGACACGGGCCAGACCCCUACGUGAGGCAGCAGGGGGGAAUAUUGCACAAUGGGCGCAAGCCUGAUGCAGCCACGCCGCGUGUAUUAAGAGCGCCUUCGGGUUGUAAAGUACUUUCAGCGAGGAGGCGGUACUCGAAGUAGAAGCAUCGGCUAACUCCGUGCCAGCAGCCGCGGUAAUAC
rnacentral:rRNA from 1 species